rnacentral:lncRNA from 1 species
GAUCAUCAGCAACGCUAGUUUGAAUUACAAGAACAUAAAAGUGACUAGUGCAUGUCCUUAGGCUUCAAAUUUCUGAAAAAAGAACGAUCAAAAUUAAUGAGAUUGUUAUAACAAAAAAAAGAAACAACAACUAACCCUCAAAAGCAAAAUUAAUAGGCUAUAAUCUAAGAUGUUCGAUUCAGUAAUACUUAGCCCGUAUAGAAGUUACAUCUGCCUAUUCCAAAAAAAAAGCCCAAAAAAUCAAGAGAAGAAAAUUAAAGAAUUUCAAAAUUGGCAUCAUGAUGAUCUGUUGAUGAAGAGAAGAAGAGCUUGCAAGGUAUGAAUUUGCAGCCUUAAAUGCAUGAUGUAUUUAGCAGUUUGGAGGAGCAACUGAUGAGAAGGCAAUUGGCUGGCGCCUGGGACUAGCCUCUGCAGCUUCACCACUUUGUCUGGUUGGUGUUGAAGAUCAAUGUCAUCAUUGAAAACAUAGCCCAUUCUUGAUCUCCUCUUCUUCCCCUUUCUCCUUGUGGUUUGUGUUGUUUUCAUGAGUACCUUUUCUAGACCUAAUUUUUUUUGGGAACCCAUCUUGAUUUAGAGCAAUUGCUUUUGAUUCAUGCAAAAUCAAAGAAUAACAGCUAUAUAGACACAAAAGUACUACUACUAUAAUGCAGCAGAGCAGCUGGCACAAUAUGUGUCAUACAUGGUGCAUGUAAUAAACUCUUGCAUGUGAUGUCUUUGGUGUGACACUUAGGUUGACUCAUGACAUAUGCCUGGCCUACUUUAACAGCAACGUCUUUUCAUUUUUACUCUAAAUAAAUCUCCUUUUAUAUCAUCAAAGUUAAGUUCAUCAAUGACUUCAAAACUCUUUACCGUUAGUUUCAAUUUAUUUGUUUUACUUUUUUAUAAUAAUCUAUUUAAAAAUAAAAAUAAAUUCUUUUAUCUCAAUAACUCUUUAUUUUUACCUUUUCACACAACAUAUUUAAAACAAUAUAAAGUUCUACAUGUCUUUAAUUUAACACUACAUUAUUCAAAAAUCUUCUUUACUUUUCAAAUUUUUUUAUACAAAUAAAUUGAAACAGACGGAGUAUCAUGAUCAUAUGAAAAGUAAAGUAAUUAGUCAUAUUCAUGCAUAUACCAUCACCAUAUAAAUUAUAAUUCUGCAUUAUCUUAUACCCUGUUCAAUGUUGAAAUAAAAGAAGAGUAGUUUGAACUUUAUGGGCAAAGUACUUGUCUAGUCAUAUUAAUACUACUAUGGCCAACUAAGACUUAUCAUCAACCUCUAUCUUCAUGUAGAAGAAGUGGAUGAUGAAUAGUCCACACUCCACAUCUUUAGAUAAGAAAAUGUUUUUGAUGUCAUGUGAGGAACAGAUAAUGUGUGGAAGCAAAAGAUGUGGGCUUGUGCAGAUCAAAGUGUUGGGUGGUGGCCAAGUGGCCUUGUGCGCUACGGGAUUUUGCUGGCGGUGACGCGGCACAUGCCUUGACAGCUCUCUCAAUUGCUAAGCAACUCAUGGACAUCACCACAUUUUGAUUUAUUCUCACCAUCUAAGAACUACAAUUAACUACUUAAAUAAAUAAAUAGUAAGAGAUUUUUUUUACCUCUGAUAGUUAAGUUUCUGAUAAAAGGUUUACACGACAUUUUGAAGUUAAAAUUGGAAAAGAAAGUUCUGCGAGAGCUGACAUUGUGAAAAUUGAGAAAUUAUUUACUUGAGAGUUAAGAUUUUGGAAAGAAGAUGAAGUUCUCAUGUUUAGACUCUUGAAGAAGAAGAAAAUGAAUUUAAU